rnacentral:rRNA from 1 species
GAUGAACGCUGGCGGCGUGCCUAAUACAUGCAAGUCGAGCGAACGGACGAGGAGCUUGCUCCUCUGACGUUAGCGGCGGACGGGUGAGUAACACGUGGAUAACCUACCUAUAAGACUGGGAUAACUUCGGGAAACCGGAGCUAAUACCGGAUAAUAUAUUGAACCGCAUGGUUCAAUAGUGAAAGACGGUUUUGCUGUCACUUAUAGAUGGAUCCGCGCCGCAUUAGCUAGUUGGUAAGGUAAUGGCUUACCAAGGCAACGAUGCGUAGCCGACCUGAGAGGGUGAUCGGCCACACUGGAACUGAGACACGGUCCAGACUCCUACGGGAGGCAGCAGUAGGGAAUCUUCCGCAAUGGGCGAAAGCUUGACGGAGCAACGCCGCGUGAGUGAUGAAGGUCUUCGGAUCGUAAAACUCUGUUAUUAGGGAAGAACAAAUGUGUAAGUAACUAUGCACGUCUUGACGGUACCUAAUCAGAAAGCCACGGCUAACUACGUG